UACGUAGGAGACGAGCGUUGUCCGGAGUUACUGGGCGUAAAGGGUGCGUAGGCGGUUUGACAAGUCUUGUGUGAAAUCUAUGGGCUCAACCCAUAGUCUGCACGGGAAACUGUCGGGCUUGAGUAUUGGAGAGGUGAGUGGAAUUUCCGGUGUAGCGGUGAAAUGCGUAGAUAUCGGAAGGAACACCUGUGGCGAAAGCGGCUCACUGGACAAUAACUGACGCUGAUGCACGAAAGCUAGGGGAGCAAACAGG
rnacentral:rRNA from 1 species